rnacentral:rRNA from 1 species
UACGGGGGGGGGCAAGCGUUGUUCGGAAUUACUGGGCGUAAAGGGUUCGUAGGUGGCCACUUAAGUCAGACGUGAAAUCCCUCAGCUUAACUGGGGAACUGCGUCUGAUACUGAGUGGCUUGAGUGCAGGAGAGGAAUGCGGAAUUCCAGGUGUAGCGGUGAAAUGCGUAGAUAUCUGGAGGAACACCGGUGGCGAAGGCGGCAUUCUGGACUGUAACUGACACUGAGGAACGAAAGCCAGGGGAGCAAACGGG